rnacentral:lncRNA from 1 species
CGAGGCGCUGGCGCGCGUCUCCCGGCCCAUCCACCCCGGGCCCGGCGACACCUUUCUUUGCCACCUGGAACCAACAUCUUGGUUCCCUUUUGAGGGAUCAGAACUUGUUUAAUUGGAAUACGGCAAAAUUCUGAAUUUUUCUGCCGUCUCUAUUCCAACUUCAGAGUUCUGCCGUCCAGCCCUGCGACAAUCUUCCGGUGCCAACGCGGCAGAUGGUGUCAGAAGCGGAGUCCAGAGUAGAGCUUCUAGGAACCUUCGGGAGUGCUGAGUGAACACGCAAGGUGCCUGCGGAACCCACUUGUGUCCAUUGACCUCUCCGAGUGGCCGGGGAUCGUGGGUUUUCCCUGGGGCUUGUGAUCACUGUCUCCUUGGUGACAUGCAAUCUGGGAGUGCUUUCUGGAGUCUGAUAAGAACAUACUGGCACAUUGCCUGUGACGUGUGGGACCCAGGCAUUUUCAGUGCUGAGGUGAGUCCUUGAUUGUAACUGAUGGGGACUGGUAUCUUAACUCCAGGUUACUGAAGACUAGGAAUUUCUUGCCUUACAGUAAAAUUGCAAAGAAGAGUAGCAUAAGAGGUAGAUCAGAAGACUGCAGAAUAGAUUAACAAAUGAAUGCCCAAAUGAGGAUGCUAAACUUGGAUUUGCAUCAAGAAGACAGAUAUUGGUCGGGCGUGGUGGCUCACGCCUGUAAUCCCA